AGCGAACGCUGGCGGUAGGCUUAACACAUGCAAGUCGAACGGAAGCACAGUAAGAGCUUGCUCUUACGGGUGGCGAGUGGCGUACGGGUGAGGUAUACAUCGGAAUCUACUUUUUCGUGGGGGAUAACGUAGGGAAACUUACGCUAAUACCGCAUACGACCUACGGGUGAAAGCAGGGGAUCUUCGGACCUUGUGCGAUUGAAUGAGCCGAUGUCGGAUUAGCUAGUUGGCGGGGUAAAGGCCAACCAAGGCGACGAUCCGUAGCUGGUCUGAGAGGAUGAUCAGCGACACUGGAAGUGGGACACGGUCCAGACUCCUACGGGAGGCAGCAGUGGGGAAUAGUGGACAAUGGGCGCAAGCCUGAUCCAGCCAUACCGCGUGGGUGAAGGAAGCCUUCGGGUUGGAAAGCCGUUUUGUGGGUAAAAAAAAGCUGCAGGAUGAUACCCCGCUGUUGUGACGGUACCCAGAGAAUAAGCACCGGCUAACUACGUG
rnacentral:rRNA from 1 species